rnacentral:lncRNA from 1 species
UAAUUUGCUAUUGCUAAACAAGUAGCAUAACAGUACAUGCUUUUCUAACUAGGUGCAAUGCUUUGUUGCGCAUCCAUUCCAGCAGCUGCUCAUUAGCUCCUUAUCUAGUAAGAAAAAAUUAUAUUAAAUUGUCAUAAGUUUGAUUUAUCGAGACAAAUAUAGAUAAGAAUAACAAAUUAGCAUAAAAAACAAAUAAAGAGAUCAAAGUUUAGCAAGAAUUUGGUGAGUUGGGUUGUGAUAUAUUUUUCAGCUCAUAUUAGUCCAACUCAUGUCAGCACAAGUAACUUUUAGGCGAUCUAAUAAUUCAUCGAUUUAUCAACUUUGUCCAUUUUGAUCCACUCAAUUCAUUUUAACCGGCUCAUCUGACACCUCUAGACUUGAACUUAUGUAAAGAACUAUUGAAUAUAAAAAGAUAAUGAUAAAAAGUAUAUAUACCUUGUUUAAAUUUGAAGCAACGCUUGAUUGACCAAACUUACGAUUGAUCAACACUUUAGAAGAAGGAGGAGGAGGACAAUUCUGAUCAAUGCAAUGUGAUGCACAAGCAGGAUCAAAGUCACAUGCAAAAGCACAAUUUUCAGCACAAGAUAUAUCAUUUGUAGCACUAGCAUUACCAUUUGCUACAAAAAUCACAAAAAAGAAAAAUGACAAUGUUAAAACUUUUGUGAAAUCCAUAAUUUGUAAUAUAUGUAUUUUUUUUUUUUUUUAUAUUUUUG